CAUAAAUGACACAACACGACAGCACGACAAAAUCAUAUAUUUCAGAAAAUUACUCUUAAAUCGGUCCGAAGACGAUCAGUGAAUGAUAAUCAAUUAUGGAUAAUCUGAUCGAUGUGUAUUAUCUGAUCCAAUUGAUUGUCUGGCAGAUUUUAAUAUUUUUGCGAGACUUCGUCUUCCGCGAAUUUACAUGGUUUGCUCCUGCGGAGGAAGAUCUCGAUAACACGAGUUCAAAAAUACGCGCCGUCACAUCGCAGCAUUCCGCCGCUGAUCUUUUCAUAUUUCUCGUCAUUUGUGGACUUCUCUUUACUUUCAUGAUAUUGUCCACAAAUUCUCCCAAGAGUGAAACAUCGCGCUACAACAUAAAUAACAUUGAGAAAUUCUAUUAAUAAAACAAGAUCUAAAGCCUGUGCAAAUGGAAUAACAAUAAUUAUAUAGGGGAGACUGGUUUAUAUUUUAUUUACUAGUUAUGUGCAAAAAAUUCCUAAAAAAACUGUAUCAGCUAUUGUUGACGCACGCACGUAUGCGCGCACGCACGCGCACACACAUAGGAUUUCCGUGGAUCUCGAAAAGGAUCAGUCAUCCUUCUGGUAUUUUACAACGGAAUUAACGAAUUGCUUCUACGCUUACGGCGACACGAUUGGUCCAUCGUGCGACAUCGUU